CACCACCACCACCACCUGACCACUAACUCACCACCACUACCACCACCUCCACCACCACCACCUAACUACAAAAUCCACCACCACCACCAUGACCUUUGUACCCCAGCAGGUGUCGGCGCUGGAUCCCGACCUGCCGCCCUCCGUCCACCAGAACAUCCUCUACUACUUGUCCCCCGACGAACAGCGGAACUUCACCAUUGACAGUCGCUCCGGCCAACUCUCCAUACGAGGCUGCCUAGACAGGGAGGCGGCGAUCCGAGGCACUAUGACCCUGUAUCCGCGAGCCAACGACGAGGGCGGAAAGGGCCACGACGCCGACCCCGCCACCGUGCACGUCACCAUCCUGGACCUCAACGACAACUACCCGCACAUCAUCAAGCCGCGCUUCAGAGCUGGGGUGUUGUGCCAAACUUGGGUCCACGUUCUCGACAAGCUUCUCAUAGCCUGGCAUCAGAAAAGAGACACACACACACACCCUAGCAGCUGGCCGGUGGAGGUGUGGGCGGCCGAAGACGCUGCAGGGAACACGCGAAAGCUCCAGAACUGAUGCGUGUGUGGCGCACGUGUGGUGGUAAGACGUUCUCCCUCCCUCCCUCUCGGUUUCUUCAGCACGGGAUGCGGGCGAGAGGAGUCUUGCUUGAUGGAGUGGAACAUUCAUCUGCAGAACCGCUGAGACUGCCAUGAGGACCCUCUCUGCCUCCUCACCAACCUCACGUCACUCCACCAAGAAGAAUAAGGUUGACGGGUGGUUGACGCUGUUCAACCUGCUCGGAAGUAGAAAAUUGAGUGCCCCAGGCCUGUGUGCUAGUGGUAGAUGUGCCCAACCCCCUCAAGCUUUGCCUCCUUACCACACUGAACACAUCACACCUCCUCAUCACCUCACCUACCUCCCCAUCCCUCAUGCUGUGCACCUCAGCAUUGUCCAGUCAUGUACAGCCACCACCACCAUCUCUGCCUGUCACUUUGAACUUGGUCUGGGAAGGAAGGGAAGCAUCUCAAGACUCAGGAAUCAAGGUCCACAGUCCACCGCAGUCCAUCAGGAGUGGGAGUCUGGUCUACCGUGGGACAGCAAAGGACUCGUCUCAUCUCGUCUCCCCCAGCAUCCAGGUAGUAUCUUGAAGGCCUGACUGGUUCCCUCGGCUCAGUGGUCUUGUCUCUGUCUCCCUCCCUGCAAGAGUCUGGCAGAGUUUAGUGCC